rnacentral:rRNA from 1 species
AUUGAACGCUGGCGGCAUGCUUUACACAUGCAAGUCGGACGGCAGCACAGAGAAGCUUGUUUCUUGGGUGGCGAGUGGCGAACGGGUGAGUAAUAUAUCGGAACGUACCGAGUAAUGGGGGAUAACUAAUCGAAAGAUUAGCUAAUACCGCAUAUUCUCUGAGGAGGAAAGCAGGGGACCUUCGGGCCUUGCGUUAUUCGAGCGGCCGAUAUCUGAUUAGCUAGUUGGUGGGGUAAAGGCCUACCAAGGCGACGAUCAGUAGCGGGUCUGAGAGGAUGAUCCGCCACACUGGGACUGAGACACGGCCCAGACUCCUACGGGAGGCAGCAGUGGGGAAUUUUGGACAAUGGGCGCAAGCCUGAUCCAGCCAUGCCGCGUGUCUGAAGAAGGCCUUCGGGUUGUAAAGGACUUUUGUCAGGGAAGAAAAGGCUGUUGCUAAUAUCGACAGCUGAUGACGGUACCUGAAGAAUAAGCACCGGCUAACUACGUGCCAGCAGCCGCGGUAAUACGUAGGGUGCGAGCGUUAAUCGGAAUUACUGGGCGUAAAGCGAGCGCAGACGGUUACUUAAGCAGGAUGUGAAAUCCCCGGGCUUAACCUGGGAACUGCGUUCUGAACUGGGUGACUAGAGUGUGUCAGAGGGAGGUAGAAUUCCACGUGUAGCAGUGAAAUGCGUAGAGAUGUGGAGGAAUACCGAUGGCGAAGGCAGCCUCCUGGGAUAACACUGACGUUCAUGCUCGAAAGCGUGGGUAGCAAACAGG